rnacentral:rRNA from 1 species
GACGAACGCUGGCGGCGUGCUUAACACAUGCCAGUCGAACGGAAAGGCCCUGCUUGCAGGGUGCUCGAGUGGCGAACGGGUGAGUAACACGUGGGUGAUCUGCCCCUUACUUUGGGAUAAGCCUGGGAAACUGGGUCUAAUACUGGAUAGGACCAUGCUGUAGGUGGUGUGGUGGAAAGAUUAGUUUCGGUAAGGGAUGAGCUCGCGGCCUAUCAGCUUGUUGGUGGGGUAAUGGCCUACCAAGGCGUCGACGGGUAGCCGGCCUGAGAGGGUGGACGGCCACAUUGGGACUGAGAUACGGCCCAGACUCCUACGGGAGGCAGCAGUGGGGAAUAUUGCACAAUGGGCGCAAGCCUGAUGCAGCGACGCCGCGUGGGGGAUGACGGCCUUCGGGUUGUAAACUCCUUUCAGCCAUGACGAAGCCCUUGUGGUGACGGUAGUGGUAGAAGAAGCACCGGCUAACUACGU